UGGGGAAUAUUGGACAAUGGGGGCAACCCUGAUCCAGCAAUGCCGCGUGUGUGAAGAAGGUCUUCGGAUUGUAAAGCACUUUCGACGGGGACGAUGAUGACGGUACCCGUAGAAGAAGCCCCGGCUAACUUCGUGCCAGCAGCCGCGGUAAUACGAAGGGGGCUAGCGUUGCUCGGAAUGACUGGGCGUAAAGGGCGUGUAGGCGGUUUACACAGUCAGAUGUGAAAUCCCCGGGCUUAACCUGGGAGCUGCAUUUGAUACGUGUAGACUAGAGUGUGAGAGAGGGUUGUGGAAUUCCCAGUGUAGAGGUGAAAUUCGUAGAUAUUGGGAAGAACACCGGUGGCGAAGGCGGCAACCUGGCUCAUUACUGACGCUGAGGCGCGAAAGCGUGGGGAGCAAACAGGAUUAGAUACCCUGGUAGUCCACGCUGUAAACGAUGUGUGCUAGAUGUUGGGUAACUUUGUUAUUCAGUGUCGCAGUUAACGCGUUAAAGCACACCGCCUGGGGAGUACGGCCGCAAGGUUGAAAC
rnacentral:rRNA from 1 species